GAGUGGGAGUGAGACGACGGUUAGGAAGAAUGUCAGAGUAGAAGUGAACUGAUAAAUACGGUUGUAAGGGCUUCAGGAAAGUGUUGGAGUGAGACAAAAUCGAGUUUGGUAAACCCAGAUAGUCUGAAUCUCAGCAUGAAACAGUAGGGAAAGAAAGAGAAAGACCAACGCUCCAGUGUUCGUGUACUUUACUUAUUUCGAUUCAACCGGCGGUCGGCUUGAAAGGAUGUUCAUUAUUUUUUACAACUAUCAACACUGUAACCAUAUAUGUACAUGGUUAAAUGCAGUCGAGAUAACUGAAACCUUUUUUAAAAUGGCAAGAGAAUGCCAUUGGAAUAGUUAUCCGAAUUACUCUAUUCUCUUCAUCAUAGCUUGUCUACAGACUCAUCGUCAUUUUUAAUUCAAGAGGAUUCAUUGGAGUUAAGAUAAUCGAAUCAUCGUGGGUGUUCUUGUAAGAUUAAGCUUGUAAAUUCAAAGCGCGAGUGCACUUUCUCCUUUACACUCCCAUAUUUUCUCAUUGUAUUGGGGCAAGCUUUAAAGGAGGACUGUAGGUAAGAUGGAUUUAUUUAUAACUUUGUGAUAUAUGUUAAAUUGUUUUAUGAUAAUUCAUUCUUUUCUAUUACAAUACAAUUACCAAUGAACGAGGAUAAAUAUUGAUAAGAAAUGGAAACAAAAGCCCAUGGAAAAUUGAAGACUACAGAAAGUAAUCCAAUUGGAUGGAAAAUUGUGAGUUAUGUAUUGGUAUCACACGAGUUUCCAUGGUUUGUACAUUGGCGUUCUCCAAACCAGCCGAGAAUGGCGCGAAAGGAAUGUUAAUACCAGAGAAGCGAAGAACGUUUUGCGAAUGAGACUGACGGUUCUGGAUGAGAGGGUGAGAUGGUGAAAAGAGACAACCUGAUAGAUAAGAGCUUCAAGUACAGAAAAAUAUCAUUUUGGGUGGAUGAAAGUCAGAAGUGGAACCCCUUGACGAAGAAAGUGUUUUUGAUUGUUUUGUGAAAUGAUAGUAUUUCUUAUUCUCAUUCUACAACUUUGCUAUAUUUUUUUUUUUAAUUAAACAAACGUAAUUUUUUUUUUCUAUUUUAUUAAAUUAAGAUCGUGAAAUAUUGAAUAAAAGGAAGACGAGAAGAAGCCAAUUCAUGAACUUUUAAUGAUCCUUGUAGUGGAUCAAGCAACCUUCCACGAGACUUGGAAAAUGUCCAAGACCAAUUGGUUGUUUUAUUUUAAAUUUUAUGUUUAAGAAUAAACUACUUCAUAAAGAAUGGAAAAAAAAGAUGACAAAAAGUUUGUAUACAUUUAGGUCGUUUACACUACUCACCCUACAUUUUCAUUCUUUUUUAAACAAAUAUUUACUAAAUAAAAGUAGGUCAUAGACAAGUAAAAUAAUCACCAAUAAAAAAGAAAUAAAAUA